UACGGAGGGAGCUAGCGUUGUUCGGAAUUACUGGGCGUAAAGCGCGCGUAGGCGGCUUUGUAAGUUAGAGGUGAAAAGCCCGGGGCUCAACUCCGGAACUGCCUUUAAGACUGCAUCGCUAGAAUCCGGGAGAGGUGAGUGGAAUUCCGAGUGUAGAGGUGAAAUUCGAUAGAUAUUCGGAAGAACACCAGUGGCGAAGGCGGCUCACUGGACCGGCAU
rnacentral:rRNA from 1 species